GGUUCUGAAACACAGUGGUUUCGGUCUACAAGGGCACGUGUGCAUGAUUCUGCUGAAGAGGGCAAAAUUUCCCGCGGAUAUUCCUUAGUCCGCGGCCAUUGCCGUGGCGCGGUUUAGACGAGGAGCAGGAGC
rnacentral:lncRNA from 1 species